UACGGAGGGAGCUAGCGUUGUUCGGAAUUACUGGGCGUAAAGCGCGCGUAGGCGGCUUGUAAGUUAGAGGUGAAAGCCCGGAGCUCAACUCCGGAACUGCCUUUAAAACUGCAUCGCUUGAAUCCAGGAGAGGUGAGUGGAAUUCCGAAGUGUAGAGGUGAAAUUCGUAGAUAUUCGGAAGAACACAGUGGCGAAGGCGACUUACUGGACAACUGUUGAACGCUGAGGUGGCGAAAGCGUGGGGAGCAA
rnacentral:rRNA from 1 species